CGAGCACGCGCGUGUGGCAUAUCAAUAAGCGGAGGAAAAGAAACUAACAAGGAUUCCCUUAGUAACGGCGAGUGAAGCGGGAAGAGCUCAAAUUUGAAAUCUUCAAGGUUUUACCUCGACGAAUUGUAGCUUAUAGAAGUGUUUUCUGUUAGUGGAGUUCGGUAAAAGUUCUUUGGAAUAGGACAUCAUAGAGGGUGAGAAUCCCGUAUUUGGUCAUUCCUCCUAGCGUUGUGAUACACUUUCAACGAGUCGGAUUGUUUGGGAAUGCAGUCCAAAAUGGGUGGUAAAUUUCAUCUAAAGCUAAAUAUUGGCGAGAGACCGAUAGCGAACAAGUACCGUGAGGGAAAGAUGAAAAGAACUUUGAAAAGAGAGUUAAACAGUACGUGAAAUUGUCAAAAGGGAAGCGUUUGACACCAGUGUUGUUUUUCCGAGAAUCAAUUACGAAUGUUUUGUUUUUAAGAAGUUAUGACUUCAUCGGCUUGCUUCCUUUCUUUACGAAACUUUCUUAAUGCACUUUUCGGUUAGCAAGUCAACAUCAAUUUCUUUUGUUGUAAAAGGGUAUGAGGAAGGUGGCUUUCUUUUCGGAGAAAGUGUUUAUAGCCUUGUGCCUCUGCAAUCGGAGAGAUUGAGGUCUGCAGCGUAGAUCCUUCGGGGUUAGAUACAGUUUGUGCUAAGUUAUAGCUUUUCAUAGACAACUUGUUGACUAUGUUUAGUCUUGUAGCUUACUCGCUUAUGCUAUUUUACCUACGCUUAGGAUGUUGAACUCUAUCACACACAG
rnacentral:rRNA from 1 species